GAUGAACGCUGGCGGCGUGCCUAAUACAUGCAAGUCGAGCGAACGGACGAGAAGCUUGCUUCUCUGAUGUUAGCGGCGGACGGGUGAGUAACACGUGGAUAACCUACCUAUAAGACUGGGAUAACUUCGGGAAACCGGAGCUAAUACCGGAUAAUAUUUUGAACCGCAUGGUUCAAAAGUGAAAGACGGUCUUGCUGUCACUUAUAGAUGGAUCCGCGCUGCAUUAGCUAGUUGGUAAGGUAACGGCUUACCAAGGCAACGAUGCAUAGCCGACCUGAGAGGGUGAUCGGCCACACUGGAACUGAGACACGGUCCAGACUCCUACGGGAGGCAGCAGUAGGGAAUCUUCCGCAAUGGGCGAAAGCCUGACGGAGCAACGCCGCGUGAGAGAUGAAGGUCUUCGGAUCGUAAAACUCUGUUAUUAGGGAAGAAUAUAUGUGUAAGUAACUGUGCACAUCUUGACGGUACCUAAUCAGAAAGCCACGGCUAACUACGUG
rnacentral:rRNA from 1 species